rnacentral:rRNA from 1 species
AACGAACGCUGGCGGCAUGCCUAACACAUGCAAGUCGAACGAGACCUUCGGGUCUAGCGGCGCACGGGUGCGUAACGCGUGGGAACCUGCCCUUAGGUUCGGAAUAACUCCCCGAAAGGGGUGCUAAUACCGGAUAAUGUCUUCGGACCAAAGAUUUAUCGCCUUUGGAUGGGCCCGCGUUGGAUUAGCUAGUUGGUAGGGUAAAAGCCUACCAAGGCGACGAUCCAUAGCUGGUCUGAGAGGAUGAUCAGCCACACUGGGACUGAGACACGGCCCAGACUCCUACGGGAGGCAGCAGUGGGGAAUAUUGGACAAUGGGCGAAAGCCUGAUCCAGCAAUGCCGCGUGAGUGAUGAAGGCCUUAGAGUUGUAAAGCUCUUUUACCCGGGAUGAUAAUGACAGUACCGGGAGAAUAAGCUCCGGCUAACUCCGUG